UACGUAGGGGGCAAGCGUUGUCCGGAAUUAUUGGGCGUAAAGAGCGUGUAGGCGGCCAGAUAAGUCCGCUGUGAAAUCUCGAGGCUCAACUUCGAGCUGUCGGUGGAAACUAUCUGGCUAGAGUCCGGAAGAGGAGAAUGGAAUUCCUGGUGUAGCGGUGAAAUGCGCAGAUAUCAGGAAGAACACCCGUGGCGAAGGCGGUUCUCUGGGACGGUACUGACGACUGGAGACGCGAAAGCGUGGGGAGCGAACAGG
rnacentral:rRNA from 1 species